CCCGCCUGGCUCUGCCGUUGCUGCUGUUACAAGACCGGGAAACCGCGUCCGCGGUCGCGCGAGACCACCGAGCCCGCGCCGCCGCUAACGUCAUAAUCCGGCGCUUGGAGCGCCCCAUGUCGUCAUCACGCACGGCGUGCAUAUGACAGCUUAAGCUGGUCAGAGUCUGCACUAUAGUCCUAGCCAGUUUAUUCCAACCAGAAGAAAUAAGCAAGAAGCCCCGCUCACCUAGCCCAAACCGCACUCUACAAUCUCUUGUGUUGUAUCUUUAUAUGGCCACCAAGUUGCAGAUGCUACCAUGAUGCCAUCCUGACUUCCCUGGGCAAACAACCUCACCAUUGUGUCCUGGAACCUCAUCUCUCCAGAGCCCCACCCCACUAGGGAAAGAGACAGGUUGGGGGUAUGGAUUGACCAGACAAAUGCCCAUGUCCAGUGGAGAAGCAAUUACAGAAGCCAGACUUUCCACCUUCUGCACUCCAUAAAAAGAGUUUUAUCCAUAUUCCCAAAAGGAUAAUGAAUAGGGAAGCUUCCAAUGGAGGGGAUGGGACACAGAACUCUGGUGGUGGAAACUAUAUGGAAAUAUACUCAUUAUGUUAUAAUCUUGUUAAUCAUUAGUAAAUGACUAAUAAAAAAAAGUUUCCACUUUAAAAAAGAAAACCCCAGAGAUAUAAAUUAGCUACUCAG